UGCGAGUUCGCGGGAGAGUAAGUUGUUGCCAGGGUUUUUGUUUUAUACUUUAAACAUUGAUUUUAUUUUUUAUGUUUUUAGAUGCUCAUGUUUUUGAAUGUUUUAUUCAAAUAAUAUAAAAAAUAAAAUAUAUAUUGACAUGGAUUAAGCAAAGAUAUAUAUUAUUCUAUGUUGUAUAAACAAAUUGGCAAAAUAGAGAUGGAAGAUAAAAAUAUGGUCAAAGUAAUAAGAGUCUAUGGUGAAUGCCUAGGAGC
rnacentral:misc_RNA from 1 species